UGGGGAAUAUUGCACAAUGGGCGCAAGCCUGAUGCAGCCAUGCCGCGUGUAUGAAGAAGGCCUUCGGGUUGUAAAGUACUUUCAGUCGGGAGGAAGGUGGUAAGGUUAAUAACCUUAUCAAUUGACGUUACCGACAGAAGAAGCACCGGCUAACUCCGUGCCAGCAGCCGCGGUAAUACGGAGGGUGCAAGCGUCGUCCGGAUUUAUUGGGCGUAAAGCGAGCGCAGGCGGUUUCUUAAGUCUGAUGUGAAAGCCCCCGGCUCAACCGGGGAGGGUCAUUGGAAACUGGGAGACUUGAGUGCAGAAGAGGAGAGUGGAAUUCCAUGUGUAGCGAUGAAAUGCGUAGAUAUAUGGAGGAACACCAGUGGCGAAGGCGGCUCUCUGGUCUGUAACUGACGCUGAGGCUCGAAAGCGUGGGGAGCAAACAGG
rnacentral:rRNA from 1 species